rnacentral:lncRNA from 1 species
UGGGCGAAGUACAAAAAUGUUGCGUCAGUGGCUCCAUCCUUGUAGUAAGCAAAGACCAGGCAGCCAUCAUCAUGCAGGCUCUCUCCCACAAAAAAUUGAAGGUCAUUGAACCUUAAGGUUGUUUUGGAAACAUUUAUAAGAAUAAUGAAAGGUUGGUCUUGUGACUUUGAAAAAAACAUUUUCAAAUUGAAAAAUGAUGACAUUGUUGAAGAGACAAGAGAUGAAAUUGAUAAAGAUGAAGUUAUUCUUGAUGUUGAUGUUGAUGUUAAUGUUUCUCUUGAUGUUGAUGUUUCUCCUAUCUUCUUUCCCAAAGUAGAAGAAAAUAAAAGUUGAGAAAUUUUUGUUGUUUAUUGAUUAAAAUAUUGGAGAGUAUGAUUGGUGUAAUGUAAUUGUUGUUGGACUUGUUUAACAUCUUUGUAAAUUAUGGGAUAAAUUCUAAUGAUUUUUUGAAUAAGGACCACCCAAUCAAUCACAAAGGGACUUACUCUCUCUUUGCCCUUCAACACCACCUUCACUCACAAAAAAUUCAAUUUGAACUAACUUCGAACUUAAUUAAUGAUUACAAACUAUUCCAAAUCAUAAUAUUACUUACAUCUUUAAACGAAAUUUGACUCUGAUACCAUUUCAACCCAAAACAUAAAAUAAUUCAUAAAUCAAAAUAAAAUUCUAUAAAUAAAUAUAUAAAACAGAAAUAAAAGACAUAAAUAAAGACACAAGCCAAGUUUUGCAUCUAAAGUUUUAACUGAUUUCAUAUUUAAACCUUCUUUUCAAAGUUCAAAAAUUUCUUCUUUCAUUUCAAAUAAACAUAUGUAUGACUUAAAAAUCGAAUAGCACCCGAACAUCUAAAACCUUCAUAAUUUUUUUUAUUAAAAACAAACAAGUAUUAAAUUUUUAGUUAAUAAAAAAAUUAUUAAAUAGCAUAGAGUAUUUUAUGAUGCAUGCAAGACAUUAGGAGUGAAAGGUAUAUAUUAGAAUCCGUAUGACAUAUUAAGAAUCUUUAGUGAAUAAAUUAUUAAAUUAUUUUUUCUAUAAAAAAGAGUAAUAUAUAUUAAAAAUACAUAUAUGGAAAGGCAAAGUUUUGAGAAAUAUAGAAAUAUAAAAAUAAUUAAAUAAAUAAACUGUUUAAAUUCAUUGUAAAAAAGAAUAAUAUAUAUAAAAAAAAUGAAAAGAAGAUUAAGAGGAGUAUGGAAAUAGAAAAUUUAAAAUUUAAAGGAAUAUUGGAAUAUGGAAUAAAAAUAAAAAUAUUGAAAUAGGAGGUUGAGAGAAAUAUGGAACCAGAAGGUCAAACAUAUUAAGAAUUUUUAACAAAUGAAAAGUAUUUUAUAAUGCAUGGAUAUAUAUGGAACUUUCAAUAUGUGAAAAGAAGUGUUUAGGGAUGAAAAAUUCUUCAAAUACUUCUAAAUUUUCAAAUUUAUAAGUACUAUAGAUUUUUUUUUAAAAAAAAUAGAAAAUAUAAAUAAUUUUUAAUUAUAUUUUAAUUUUUGAAAAUAUAAACAUAUUCAAUGAUUCUAAUUUUAUUUUUUGUUUGCAAAAAUAAAAAGUAUAUUUAAUAAUUAUAUAACAAAAAUAAUAAAAAAAUUGACAUCUUUUCAUAUUUUUAGAAUUUUUUUAGUAAAUUACAACAAUAUUUUAAUAUAUACUUAUGGUACCUUAAUAUUCUUAAUGUGGAAAAAUUAUGAAUGCAAUACUUUCUUGUUUUUAAUGAUUUUAAAAGGAAAAUCUUCUCUAUUAUACCUUCAUUUUUUUUAUUUUUUGAAUAUUUCUAUCAAAUUUUGAACUUAAAAAAAUAAAACAAUCCAUUAAACAUGUUUUUUAUAAUUAUUUUUAUACUUUUAAUUAAAAAAAAUGCAACCAAACAUACCGUAAAUUAAAGGUGGUUACUUCAAUGGGAAUCUGGAAGCUGCACCCAAUAGAUGGAAGGAAGCAUAGGGGCCUUGAUGGGGGAUCACUUGAACACACGGUUCAAAAUCUCGGUCGAGACCGGUACGACUCGGCCGAGUCGUAUCCGCCUCGACCAUGGCCGGUACCGGACCGAUACCCGAGUUGGAGUAGAAAUUGUGGAGAAGAUCAGAAUCAUCAGAUGAGAGGAUCAAAACCCACGAAAAUGAAAAAUACAGAGUUAGAACCCUGCAUCUUGGAGUCGCCGGCGAGGUUGAAGAAGCACGCCUGCUUAUUCGGAUUGCCCAUUGCCCAAGUUCCCGCCGGAGAUGGAACUGAGCGACAUGAGGAGCAGAGUCGUCGGACUUCGGCACCGCUGUUAUCAUCGACGGUCCUGAUGGGUUUGCAGUCGGGACAAACUGUGUUAUGGAACUUCUGCAAGGAUUUGCCUCCAGUGAUCAUGUAGGCUGACAUCCCACUUCUACAAUCACCUGUUGAGGCACCACAAUCCAGAGGGGCAGAGGCCAAGCUUUUCACCGAAGGCAUGCUGUCCUAACUCACUCUCAAAUCGCUUUCCAAAACCAUUUCACGCCGGAGGGUUAUGGGUAUUUGGAGGAUUUAGGUUUUAAAUAAUUUGUAUUUAUUUUUUAAUUAGAUUAUGAGUAUUUGAUGGGAUAUGGAUUUUAAAUAAUUUGAUAAAAAUUAUAAUGAUAAAAAAUAAAUAAUAAAUAUUAGACUUAUAUCAAAUAAAUAUUUAUAUAAAAAUUAAAAUUAAUGAAUACAUUUUAUAAGAAAAAUUAUAUUUAUUUUUUUAAAGAUGAAUUAUGGUUUUAUUUUUUUAAUAAUUGAAAACAUUUUUAAAAAAAUUCAAAAUAUUUAAUUUAAAUAAUUUUUUACUAAAAAAUUUACUUUUUAUUAUUUUCAUCUUCAAUAAGAAAUAUUUAUCAUCAAGUAAUUAAAUUAAAAUAUUUUUAAAGAUUUUUAAUAUUAUUAUAAAUCAUCCCAAAAAUAUGCUUUUAUUAUAAUUUGAAUAAUUUUAAUAUAAUAGAAGUUUAUUUUAUUAAUUUUUUUACUCUACUUAUUUGUAUUUUAUUUUUUUUAAUAAUUUUCAUAAUUUUUUAAAAUUAUUUUGAGCUCUUAAAUUAAAAUUUUUUGCGUAUCACCCGAUACCGAUCCGAGAUACCGAGACCGAUGUGCCUCAGGACCUCCCGAGUCAAUGACCGAUACCGCGACUUUGAACCCUGCUUGAACACCAAGAAAAUAGAUUAUUUUUUAGUUUUCUUGUUAAUUUGCACUCUCUUUUUUUCAUUGUCUUAAUGCAAUCAUACAUGUAAUAACGUGGCUUGUAUUCUAAGAAGUCACAUUUGUCAAAACUAGAGCAAGAAAAAGAUAGUUGUCGUGUAUUUUUUUUAAUCAAUUCAUAUAAUAAUAAAAUGUGACAAUGAUUUAUGUAACCUGACUCACAAAAAUGGUUGGUAUGGUUCAAUCUUUUGGCACGUCAUUCACGUACGUGGUCCCUAAUGUUUUUCCUCUGUUUUCGGUUAUAAACGUGAUUCCUUGCGAACGUGAUUUCAAAUGAGAAAGAAUCUGAGUAAGGUACAAACCCACCUGGCUGCAUAGAGUUGGAAGCUACUUUUGUUUUACAUGGACCUUUUCAUUAGUCUGAAUGGGUAGGGCCACUUCACCUAAAUUAUUCAGAUAUUUAGAAUGUUGUGUUUGAAUCUUAGAAAAUAUCAAGGAAAAAGGAAGUGAACUAUUAUAAAUGAAUUUAAAAUAUAUAUAUAUAUUUUUUCAUUUUCACAUACCUUAGGGUUAAAUGUUGGAGUUGUCUUCGGAUGUCCAAGUGGGCUCACCAUCUAACCCAAUAAAUAAGAAAAUUGGAGUGUAGUUUCUGGAAGUGUUGAAAUUACCCAAAAACUAUCAUUAUUAAAAAAUAAAAAAGAUAUAUUUUUUUUUCUAAAUUAAAUGUCUUCUAUCUUAGUUUUUUUUUAGUUUUCUUUGUGAAAACAAAAAUCGAGACUCUUAUGUUGUUGAAAAGAAUGAUUCUCGUAUUUAUAAUUUCAUUUAUGAUUUGAGAUGAGAAAAUUGGUUAGUGAAAUAACCAAUUGAGAUUUCUUAAACAUUUUAGAAAAUAAUCCAAAAGUCUUAUUUUACAUCACCAACAAUCUUCCCUACUUUUUUUUUUCCUUUUCCAACUCAUUGUCAAAAAAAAUUUCGCCUAAUGAACCUAUAUUAUGUUACUCAUCAUCAAUAGUACUUUGAUUAUAGGUAGAUAUCAGUGUAGUUUUCCCCUCUUUAUUUCCAUUUCCUUUUUCACCCUCCUUAUUUUUUGUUUUUUGUUUUAUUUUUUUGUUUUUUCAUAUUUUACAUGUUUAAUACAUUUAGCCAUAUGUUUCAAGAUUCUUUUUUCGAAAUAUUUCCAAAAGAUGCCUUUCUAAAGCUAUGAUCUUACACAAAUGGGUAUGCAAUGAAGUGAAGCAACUCAAAUUGAAUGGGUGCAAGGUCGUAAGGAUGUAAGCUUAAAUUAAUGGGUGCCUUGAAAUCUAUAAAUCAGACAAAAGGGUUGUUAUUUUAUUUAUUCAUUCAACUUCAAUUCUUUGCAUCCUUUUGCAUAUUUCAAUAUUAUUCCAUUUUCUUUUUACACCAAAAAUUCCUAUGUACUAUGAUUUUGUAGAAACAAUAUAUAGAUUAUGGACAAACUUACUAUAUUUUGAAGGUAUUAGGGAUUUUUCUUUCAGUACACAAUACAGAUAGACAACCAUAACUUCAUUGUAUCCUAGAGACAUAUGUGAUAUACUAUUGUGCAUAAUAAAAUUGGUGGGGAUAAAUAACAUCCUAAGGAAAUCGACAUUAUAUCAUGCCUUGAAGCACUCUAGUUUCCAAUUUUAUUAUUUAUAUUAUAUGCAUCAUACCUUCACUAUGUACUACUUCAACUUCAAUAUUACGAUACUCACAAUUUUUCUCUAACAAUAUGAAGACAUUAUUAUGGUAAAAUGGCAUCGUUGUCACCUCUUUGUGAGUUUUCUGUUGAUUGUUUUACGGAAAAUUUUAUAUUGUUUGCUUCAAGGGUUAAUAGGAAAGGCUACAUUUUUUGCUAGCAAGAAGAAAUUUUUGCAGAAACUUGUGUGUGGCAUAAAUAAGAGCAAGAUGACUACAAAAGUGAUAUAGAAUUCUCUAGAAGAUGCAUAUCUAAUGAAGGAUGCCAUAAGUAAAAAAGUCUUGGCUUUUAAGUUUUAUAAUUACAAAAUGGUUGAUGCAAGUCAUGUGGUAGCAUAAGUUCAUGAGAUCAUGCAUAUUAUUAAUCAAUUUUGUAAACACAAUACACAUAUGGAUGAUUCAAUUAUUGUAUCUUCUAUUAUUGUUAAACUUCCUACCUCCUAGAAAGAUUACAAAAAAAGUCUCAUACGCAAAAAGAGAACAUUACUCUUGAAGAGUUGGGUCAAUACCUUUUGAAAGUAUGAAUCCUGCAUCAUGGAACUAGCUAUUAGAGGGAGGGUGAAUAGGUAGUCCUUUUAUGGCCCAAAAGUUAUAUUUCUAAUAUUUUUAUUGAUCCUUUGAUCAAUACAUGUGUUUAAUAAUUAAAACAAAGAACAAUUCCACAAUUAACAUAUGAUAUGUAUGGAAAGCCUAUUGGGAUUUUGUUUCUCCUAGACCUUCGGUAACAAACUGAAAAUGUGAUUUGGAAUGAGGUCCACAUUCAUUCCAUCAAUUUAGGAAUGGGGAUUAACAUUUGGAACCACAUUCGCAUCACUGCUCCAUGUUUUGUGCAUGCUCAAAGCAGACUUUGUGAUGGAAAGAGUCUUUAAAAAGGGCAGGGCACUAAUGGGUUGGGUUCCCUAAGCCUUCAAUAUCUUUCAAUCUCAAAAUACACCAUCUAAGAAAAAGGUUGAGAAAGGUUUAGAAGCACCUAAAACCAAAAAAAUAAAUAAAGACACUGUUUUUAACCUAUGAGUGUGUGAGAAUGACAAUGACGGGAGGUACAUUUUCAAUCUAUUUUCAAAUUCUGCUUAUGAUCUAAUUGCUAUUUAAGGAUUGUUAUGAUCAUGUUUAGUUAAUUUAUGUCUUAUAGUUGGUAUCAAAGCCUUGUAUGCCUCAGCCUUGUUCAUUUUUGCAAUCUAUGUUUUUUAAUAAAAAAAAAUACAGUGAGUUUUAGUAUUUUGGAGUUUAUGGUUUUUUGAAGUUUUUGAUGAAAAAUAUGAUUUGAAAUCAUUAGGAAAUAAGAUUUCUAACAUUUGACUACAUGGGGCAUGUCGUUUUGACUAUAAAGAAGGAAUAAAUAAGUAAAAAGAAAUAAGAAAAGGGGCAAUAGCUUAGUUGGUCUCAGCCUUACCUUCUUCUAGUCGUUGCCCAAGUUUGACUCCUUCAGUAGCAAUCUUAAUUUUUUUUUUUUUAUGGAAAUUCAUAAAAUUUAGUGUUUUAAGAUCUUUUAAUUUAUAGGUUUCUUUAUGGAUAUUUUAUGUUCUAAAUUAUUUAUUUUUGUUAUUUGUAUGUAUAUUUUCUAUGGUUUAUAAUGCAUACAACAUUCAGUUAAAUAAUUUUGCAUGCUAAAUUAAUUCUUAAAGGCUCUUUAUGGAUUUAAUUUUAGAUAUUUAUGUUCUAAUAAUAUUUAUUUCAUAAUUUUGUGUGUACGAUUUAUUGUUUUAUUAUACAUGCAAUAUUGAGUUGAAUAAUAUUAGUACAUUGAUAUUGAGUUUUGUGUACAUAUUGCUUAUGGUUUCAUGCAAUUUAUAUGAGCUUUUCUUGUGGAUUAAUUAAAUGUCAAGUGAUCCAUAUAAUUUUAAUUAAUUAGGGAGUAGCCACAAUAUCUUUAAUUAUGCAAAAUUAUAUAUUAAGUGUUUUAGGAUCACAUAUAGAAAAAUGACAUUACGGGUAAUUAAUCAUAUAUGAUUUAAUAAAAUUUUAUCCCACAAUAAUUUUUAUUAUGUUUGUAUGAUUAGUUAGGAUAGAAUAUCAAAUUAUAUUUCUUAAUUACCCACGAGAAUUAGGAAAGGGAACAUAAUUUGAUAGUUUUAUCAUAAGGUUUUACAUAAAUCUAAUUGAAUUAGAACUUUAGCUCACAAGCAAGUUUUAUGUCACUAGAUUCAUAAUUUUGGAACAAGAUUUACAUUGGUAAAACAUGAUAUAUGGUUAUUAGUGUCAAUUUUGAAUUAUUAGCAUGUAUGUUUAUUUUUUGUGUAGUCAUGCAACUUGAGAAUUUCUCUUAUAUAAUGUGAUAUUCCCGAAUUGAAAUGUGAUAACUAUAAGGUUUGGAAGGAGAUAAUUCUCCUUUAUUUGGGGUGCAUGGACAUUGAUUAUGCUAUCAGGAAAGACAAACCAACCAUUACUGACACCAAUACUACAGCUAAAAAGGCUCUUUAUGAACAAUGGGAGCGAUCAAAUCGCCUUAGUGUGAUGUUCAUAAAUACCAAAAUCUCUAUUGGUAUUCGUGGUUUUGUUGAUCAACACGACAAUGUCAAGGCAUUGCUGAUGGAUAUUGAUGAGCAAUUUGUGACUUUAGAUAAGGCACUUGCUAGCACCCUGAUAAUGAAGUUUUCAUCCUUAAGGCUCACCGAUGUGAGUGGUGUGCGAGAGCACAUAAUACAUAUGAGGGACAUUACGACACAAUUGAAGGCACUUGAGGUUGAAAUGUCUAACUCCUUCCUUGUGCACUAUAUUUUGAACACUCUUCCACAACAAUAUGGACCCUUCAAAAUAUUCUACAACACACACAAGGAUAAUUGGUCAAUUAAUGAGCUUCUGACCAUGUGUGUUCAAAAAGAGGAAAGACGGAAAAUGGAAUUAGGUGAGAGUGCAUUAAUGACAACGAAAUGAAAGGAUCAAAAUCAAGCCAAAAGAAAUGGAGAGGUAAAAUACUACCCCAAGGUGGAAUCAAGAAGGCAAAUAAGUGCUUCUUUUGCAAUAAGAAGGGGCAUAUGAAGAAGGGUUGCACCAAAUUCUAGAAAUAGCUUGAGAAGAUAGGUAAACCAAUCUCAUUUGUUUGUUAUGAAUCUAAUAUGGUUGAUGUUAUUUAUAACACAUGGUGGAUUGAUUCUAGUUCUACAAUCCAUGUUUCGAAUACCUUGCAAGGUAUGUGAAACUUCAGGAAGCCAAUGCCAAGUGAGCAAUGCAUUUAUUCAAGAAAUAAGAUGCAUUCACAUGUGGAGGCUAUUGGAACAUGCAGUUUAGUUUUAAGUAGUGGUUUUCUUUUGAAUUUAGAAAAGACAUUUUAUAUUCCAAGUGUCUCUAGGAGUUUGAUUUCAGUUUUAAGAGUUGUACCUUUGGGUUAUUCCUUUAGUUUUUAUGAGACAUCUUUAAGUUUGUUUUACAAAUCUAAUCUUGUUGGAAAUGGUACAUUGUUUGAUGGUAUUUUCUUUAUCAAUUUGCAAAAUGAUACCACUAAUAACACUAUGCAUGUUCACACUCGCACAAAAUGAUGUGUUAUGAAUGAAGAUUCCUUUAUAUUGUGGCACCGGAGAUUGGGACAUAUCUCCAUACAGAGAAUUAAGAGAUUAGUAAAUGAUGGAAUACUCAGUACUUUAGAUUUUAUUGAUUUUGACACUUGUGUGGACUGCAUUAAGGGAAAAUAGACCAACAAGUCUAAGAAGGGUGCCAAAAGGAGUGUAUUAGGCAUUUGAGAGUAUUUGAUAGUUCAGUUGUUUGGAAUGAUCUUGAUUAUAUACCAAUGGCCAGUCUACCGGCCAAGUUUAAGAUGCCUGACAUUGAGAGGUACACGGGCAUUAGUUAUCCCUGUAUUCAUCUUUGACUCUACAGUGUUGUGAUGAGGGCCCAUGAAUUAGACAAGUCGCAGAUGAUCACUAUGUUCCCUUUAUCUCUGAGUGGCACAACCUAGUGUUGGUUCGCAUCUUUAGAGUCCUUGUGACGCAGGAGAUGGAAUAACCUAGCUUAGGAGGUUUUGAAAUAGUUUUCAUUUAACAUUGUUAUAGAAAUGUCGAGGAGAGAGUUGGAGGCUUUGAGAUAGAGAUCAGAUGAGUCUGUUUCUUCCUUCAUUUCCUGUUAGCAGGGGAAAAUAGUAGAGAUUGUUGAUAGACCAUUAGAGAGAGAUUAGAUACAUAUGGUUUUGAGUUUAUAGCCCAAGAUUACUAGAUAUGUGGUCGGAGUACCUUUUAUAGACUUUGGAUCUCUAGUUUCAGUGUUGUAUGACGUGGAGGAUGGCAUUUCGAGAGGGUUAUGGUCUGAUUCUUCCCUUAUUGAUGCUAAGGGGAAGAAACCAGUUGGGAGAUAGAGGUUAGAUGUGGGCACUAUUACUUCUACUAGUCGGAGGCCUCCUAGGCAUCAUUAGCCAGUUCCAUAGCUUACUGGCACUUACAUUUCUUAUUCACCUCAUUAGUAUAGGCCACGAGCACCUUCUCAGUCGUAUGAUCAAACUUACCCAUCCCCCACACUAGUACAGCUGCGUUAUGCGAUACCAGGCACAAAGAGGCCUCUAGUAAAGAAAAUAAAAGUUGUAAAAAUUUGUUUUCUUACUAAACUGAAACUUGGUUCCGUGAUUAAAUUAGGUAAACCUCAUUUUCCUUCUAAAAAUCACUUUUCCAAAAAUAGAAUUGAUUCUUUUUUAUAAUUGUGGAAUCUUUUUUUUUUUUUUAAUAAAGUGUAAACCAAAAUCAUUUCUUUGUGAAUAGGAGAUCAUAUUGAAACUUGUCUCUUUAAUAAAUUCAAAUUCAAUCAAAAUUCUUUUAAUAAAAUCAAUAAAAGUCUUUUUUUUUAAUUAAUUUUGGAUGUGAAUAAAAAUUGAAUCUUUUGUAAAUAAAUUGAAACAUUGUGAGUAAAUAAGUUUGAAAUCUUUAAUUCGGAAUUGUUUCCUUUGUAAAUAAAAUUCUUUUGAACUUCCUUUGAAAUGUUCUAACUUUAACAAAUAAUUAAAUUCUAUUUUGUGUAUUUCACAUUCAUUAAUUAUGUACAUUCUUGUAUAUUCUUUUUUUCACCUCAUGACUUAUAUGUAUAUUGUUGUCCUAUUAUUGUUAUUCUCAAUUAAUUAAUCAAUUGUCAUUAUUCCUUCCAUUCGCUUAGUAGAGACUGUAAGUAUACAAGUUUAAAGGGAUGCUAUGGAUUAAUUAUCAUACCUUCCCUAUAGAUAACCUGAUCCCCGGACUUAGACUCGGGUUUUUCAAAGAUAGGUUUUUUCAUAACUUAAAGAGUCAUUUUUCUUAGGAUUUUAGUUUCUUAUUUUAUUUCCCCUUUAAAUAAAAAUUUAAAAAAAAAAAAAAAACAAGUGGCAACUCUAGCUUUUACAAAAAUACAGUUUUUUCAUUAAAAGAAAGCGAAUCUUGUCAAUCAAGUGAGGGACGCAUGUGAAAAUUGCAGUUCCACAUAAACAUAAUGACCUUUGUUAUCCUUGGUAUCCAUGAUUUAUUGAUCAAUUGUCAUGUUUGCUUCAACCUAAAGAAGGGUAUUACCUUUAUAGUACCUUCCUAAUAGGUAAUCUAACUUUCAAACUUAGAUUCAGGUUUUUAAAGACACGUUUUUCCAAAAAUAAGGAGUUAAUUUUUUAGGGUUUUAUUUCUUAUUUUAUUUUCAUUUUUAAAACUAAAUAAAAAUAAGUGGCAACUCCAAUUUUUUUAAAAUCAAUUUUUCACUAAGAACGCCAGUCUCACUGUCAAGUGCGGACACACAUGAAAAAAGCAAGUCUACAUAUGCAUAUUGGAUGUGGAUAUUGGAGGCCAACACUUGAAUAUUGUUGGAUAUUUUGUUCUUUUUAUGGAGUUUCUUCUUCUUUUAUUCAAAUUGUUUUCAUAUAGAUUGUUUAAGAAAUUGCUUGAUCUCUUAAAUAAUUGGUUGUACAGUAGGUUUCGAUGCUUUAAUUUAUUUGGUUUUAUUAUUUUUUUUAGGUUAUUUUACUCUUCUUUAAGCUCAUUGAUCAUAUGAAAUGAGGUUUUGUUUAGAUUUGAAAUCCUUAGAUAUGUGUGUGUGUGUGUGUGUGUAAAAUCAAAUUUGAGAGCUAUGAAGUGUUUGUUUAUUUAUCAAAGAGAUUUUCUAUAGAAAUGACACUUUGAAGCCCUUUUUUUUUUUUUUUUUUUUUUUUGCUCUUUUAGGUUUUCUUUGCAAAAUUUAUUUUAAAACCCAUUUUCAAACUCUCUUUAGCUAAGUUUCAAACAUCUUUUAAUGGUUAAUUUUGUGUCCCAAGGUCAAGCCUCCUUCUAUAGGCUUUGAUCUUACCUUUAUACUUGAUAAAAUUGAUAGUUGCUCUUAUGGUUUUUAUGAUUUUUGAAAAGCUUGAUUUUUAAUAGACCAUUCUUGACCCUUUUAGUCUCUUUUCAUGGUCAAUUAGGGUUAAAUUAUGAUUAUUUGAUAGUUAUUAAUGGUUAUCAUGUUCUUUAGUACAUAAGGCAUGAUUUGACAUGAGAACAUCCCUAUCUAUGGGUAUUUCUUUAUGCAUUUCAGUUCUCUUUUCAUGUGUGAAUGUUAAUUUGGCCCUUCAUGCCUCUUAUGAGAUUAAAUUCAUACUCGUUUGAGAGUUGAGAAAGGGUGAAUUCCCUUUAGUUAAUCCAUGGCACAUUCAUUUGGCCUACAUCACUCAUUUUUCUAAAACUUAUGAUUUUCAUUUUUUUUAAUCUUGCAAAUCUAAAUUUAAUUGGAUUAUCUCUGACCUUCAUGAGCUUCUUUCCAUGAUCAUUAGAGGUUUGGGAUGUGGAAUAGUCCAUGGAAAUCAAUUUGGGCUCAUGGUCAAGCCCACAUUCAUUGAUCUCUAACUUUUUGCCCACUUGUUGCCCUGCUGUUUUUACCCCCAAAGUGUUUUUUUUGCAAAUCUAAACUUUUUAACUUGUCCUAAAAUAUUUUUGAGCCUUAUAAUAUGUUUUAGACUUCUUAAAUUUAUCAAAGAAUUUUUGUUUUGUUGAAAAAUCCUUCUCCAAACUUGUUAAACAAAUUGGUUUUUCCAAGUGUCUAGAUUCUACCAUGUUUUGUACCUCCAAAAUGUUUUGAAAAUUAGUCUUAACUCAUAGGUUUAAUUUUUUUUCUAUAUUUUAGACUUCUUAAUAAGGUUUUAAAUUUUAGUUUCAUUUUAAAAUCAUUUUUCAAGCUUGUAAAUUAAUUCUAUCUUGUUAUUCUUGUGGUAUUAACCUAAAUAUGGCGUUAUGAUUUGUUCUCUAAAAUUUAGGAUAAUUAGUAGAUGUUUGGGCCCCAUGAAUUUUUUUUCAUGUGUUCUAGACACUUUAAAUAUACUUUUUAAUUUUUGUUUUAAUUUUAUCUAACCUCUAUGCUUGUUGAAUAAUUUCAAUAUUUUUACAUGACUUGUUGUUCUACCUUACUUUUUAGCAAUAAUAUGUUUGGUUAAAUCUGGGAUAGUUGGUGCAUAGGCUUUCAAAUUGUAUUUUAGCCACUUUGAGCAUAUUGUAGAAUUUUUUUGUCUGAUUUUAUCUUAUGUCUAUCUAUUUUAUUUAGAUUUAUUUUAUAAAUAUUUAUUUUCUUUCUUAUUUCUAUACCAUGUAAAUAUCUUGUUAAUUCAACCCCUUUCAACUUGUUUUUAAACUUAUUUAAUUCUUACUUUGUAUUAUAUACAUCUUGUAUAUGUUAGUCAAACCUUCCUUUAUAUUAUAUUUCCUCUUUAACUAUUUUAUUUGGAUUUAUUUUGUGGUUGUAUUCUAUUGUCCUAAUUUGAUCCCUUUACAUGUUUAGUGUAAUUUUGGUCCACUUUGAUGUUAGUUUAGCUAUCCUUGAUCAUUGAUUUGAGUAGUGUACAUCUUAUUUAUAUAUAUAUAUAUAUAUAUAUAUAUAUAUAUAUAUAUAUAUGAUUCUUGCUUUGUUAUUAGAUCUCUUAUCUUACUUGUGAGCUAAUCUUUUUUUCCUUGUAUAGGCACGUUGCCCUCUUUUGGGCAUUUUUAAGGAACGCUCCCUUCCUUUCUUGUUUCUUUGAUUCAUUAUCUCUUGCUCCUGUUUAAUAUCACCAUUGCUUUGUUAUAUAAUUUCAUGUUGUUAUUUCUUGAUUCACUAUUUCAUUAGUCAAUUGCCUAAGUUUCCUCCACUUGUUUAGUAGCAACCUCUUUAAAGCUUAAAGGAGUGUUACUCUGUAGUACAUUCCCAAUAAGCAACCUAACCCUUAGAUCUAGACUCAAUUUUCGUGCACUUUGCUUUUCCUUUUAAUAGGAGUCACUUAGAAUUUUAUUUUUAAUUUGUUUUCAUUUUUUAAAAAAAAUAAAAAUAAGUGGUGACUUCAAUAUUUUCAAAAAUUAGUUUUUCACAAUAAAAAACGAGUAUCUCCAUUAAGUAUAGAUGCACAUGAAAAAUGUGGGACCAUACUAAGACUACAAAAUUUGCUUAUAAUUGAUACAUAUUUAAUGAUUUAGAAUUAUGUUAAUGACUUAUUUGUAAUAAUUUGUAUAUACUCUCGGGUCAUGUGGGUUAUAUUAUUUAUAUAAUAAAUCAAUUAAUUUGUGAUUUUGAUGCGAUUAAUAAUAUUAAAAUUAACUUAAAUAUAUCUUACCUUACACAACAAGAUAAUGUGAGAGUCACUACCACCCAAAAUCGAUAAAUUAAAUUUCCUUUUCUUGGUUAUACUAUUAUAUUAUGUUUAGUUUUAAAAAAAUUAUUAAAAAAGUAAUGUACUUAUGAUUGAUUUUAUUAUAAAAAAUACAAAUAAAAAUCAAAUAUAAUUCAAAGGAAAAUAUGUAUUUUUAAAUUAUUUAAUUUAAUUUUUAUAUAAAAGAAUUAAAAUAAAUUUAAAAUAAUAUAUAAAAAUAAUUAUUUAACUUUAAAUUUUUUUAUUUUCAUCUCUCUCUAAUAAUUUGUUGGAUGGAAUGAUUGGCAGUGUGAUGAGUAUGUUGUUGUAGAGCCUCAAUAUUUGACCAUCAGCACAACCACAUGCACUCAUUACAUUCCUCCGCUAUUAUAAAUUCUUAAACGUCUCAAAUAUACUCCAUUAUUGGCUCCGCGUACGUAUAGUUAUUAAUUCGCAGCAAGCUAACGAACAAUUGGCCUUGGCCUUACUUACAACAUCAUGAUUAUGAUAUUUUCCCCUUCAUUUAUGUCCAUUAAAAUAAUAUCAAGAUCCCUUGGUAAGUUGCUAAAACUCAAGUCACAUUAAACCUCAAACAUUUUAAAACCCAAAUCAUAUCAAAGCCUAAAUUACAAUAAAGCUCAAGUCACACUAAAUUUAAGUUAAGGUUCGUCCACAUUACAUACAUCGAAAAUAAAAUUAAGAUAAGACUAAAGUCAAGUUAAGACUUAAAAUCAAAUUUAAGAUAAGACUCAAAUAAAUUCAAGUCAUUUAGAAUCAAAUUUCUUUAACUCUACAAUGAAUGACAAUUAUAAUGUGUAGUACACUUUAUCAUAGUGGAGUUCAAAAAAGAAAAAAGGAAAAAGGGGAAAAGGGAAAAUAAUGUGAUGUUGGGUUGAAAAAGGAAAAAUCAUGUGGUAUUGGGUGACAUAUCAUUUCAGAGUUUGAAAGAAAAAAAAGUAAUCAUGUGGCAUUAGGUUAUGUGGGUGAUGGCAUCAACCCUUCAAAUACAAAGGAAUAAUUUUGUAAUUUUGUAAUGGUAGAUAGCAUCAAUCAUUCACUUGAUAACUAACCUAAUAGUAAGUUUAGAGUGAGACAAAAAAAAGUUAGAAGAUUUCACCACGGAAAAUUCCAACUUAUGCGUGAGAUGAUAGGACAUCACCCCAACUUACCUCAAAGUCAUCAAUUCAGGAAUCUCUCUUUUUAUCUUUUUUGGACUGUCCUAUCUUGUCUUUGGACCUUCAAAAAAUAUCAACUAUGUUCUACAUUUACUAUCUCAUGUUUCCUACAAUUUUUAUUCCAAUCCAAGUUCUUUUUUCUUGAUUUUUGUCAUACUCUUUGCUUUUACUAGUAACUUUAACGUGCACGUUUGCUAACCAUGAAUAAAAGACAUGAUUGAAAUAAAUUUGGUUUAAUCAUUUAAAAAAAGAAAAAAAUAGUGGAAAAUAUUAGAGAGAAAAUCGAGAGAGGAGUAACAAAUAAAAGUUUUUAUAUUUUUAAUGUAUAUAUGAAAAAAAAUUUAAUGUUUUCAUAAUUGAAUCGAUCAUUGAAUCAAAAAAGUUAUCAAUUCAUGGUUCUAAUCGAACCGACGAUCGAACUGGUGACAUCAUAAAUAUAUAUUUUAUAUAUUAUUAAAAUUAAAAAUAAUUAUAAAAAAUUAAAAAUAUAUAAAAAUAAAUUAAAAACCAAUAAUAUUAUUUUUUAUAUCUUUGAUAUUAUCAAAUUAAAUCAUACAUAAGUAUAAAAAUAUUAAUAUUUUAAAUUUUAUUAAAUGAUAUAUAUAAAAUAUUUAAAUAUGAAUAUAUUGACAAUGAAAGAAAAUUAAAUUAUUUUAUUUAAUAUGAUGUUUUUAAAAAAAAGAAUUUAUUUAUUUUUGUUUGUGUGUUUCCGAGUGGUUCAAGUCCGGACAAAACACUGUUCAUCCACAAUGAUGCACAGUAAGAUGCUGGACAAAAAUCACUAUUCAUUUACAGUAAAAAUUCGGAACAAAAUCACUAUUCACCCAUAGCGAUGUAUAAUAAAGAUUCCUGCCAAAAAUCACUAUUCAUCACUAUACAUGUAACAUUCCCCGUGUAAAAAGUAAAAAGUAAAAAUAAAAAUCCACAAUAAUAAGAGCAAUGUCAAUCGAUGUUUUCAUAUGCUUAAUGUAUAUAUAGGUAAAAAAAUCAAUGUUUUUAGAAUUAAGUCAAUCAUUGAAUCAAAAAAAUUAUCGAUUCACGAUUUAAUAGUCGGACAAAUGAUCGAACUGAUUACAUCAUAAAUAUAUAUUUUAUAUAUUAUUAAAAUUAAAAAUAUUUAUAAAAAAUUAAAAAUUAAUAAUAUUAUUUUUUGUAUCUUUGAUAUUAUCAAAUUAAAUUAUGAAUAAGUAUAAAAAUAUUAAUAUUUUAAAUUUUAUUAAAUGAGAUAUGUAUAAUAUUUAAAUAUGAAUAUAAAUUAAAUUAUUUUAUUUAAUAUGAUGUUUUUUUAAAAAAGAAUUUAUAUAUUUUUUUUUGUUUGUUUUAUGCAGCAUGUGUGUACCUGAGUGGUUCAAGUCCUGAAGCAUCAAACUAUCACUAGGAAAAAUGUGAAACGAAAAAGUAAAAGUUUUAAAUAGUAUAAUUCCAGACAAAAAUCACUGUUCAACAGCAAUGAUUCUGGACAAAAACACUGUUCAUCCACAAUGAUGCACAGUAGAUGCUGGACAAAAAUCACUAUUCAUUUGUUCACCAUUGCGAUGUAUAAUAAAGAUUCCUGCCAAAAAUCACUAUUCAUCACUAUAUAUGUAACAUUCCCCGUAGAUUUCAUAAUAAGAAAACCCACAAACACUAGAUACCUCUUUAGUCACCGACGCAUAAAAAGUAAAAAUGAAAAUUCGCAAUAAUAAAAACUAUAACUGCAACACGCAACUUGUCUUUUCAAUCCUUACAUGACCCGGUUCUUGUUUAAAACUUAAUCUCCUUCAACCCGUGGGCGAAGAUCCUUGUAGUAAGCAAAGACCAGGCAGCCAUCAUCAUGCAUGCUCUCUCCCACAAAAAAUUGAAGGUCACUGAACCUUAAUGUGUCUACAAUGUCAACCACUUUGACAGCUUGAUCCUCAAUGCCCUCAUCAUCUUCGCCACCUUCAGUAGAAGGAUUGCGCCAAUGUCUACAUCAAUGGCUCCUUGAACAACCCACUUCCCCUCAACUUGGCUCCAUUGAAGAGCUUCUUGUAUGGGAAUGAGUUUCGCAGAAGCUCGUCCCCGGUGAGCAAAUCCUGACAGACAAGCAUGGUGGCGGCUGAGUCUCUCUCGGAUCGCUCCAAAAAUCAGUAUCCAAAGCGCAGGAGAAGAUGGAGCGGUGAGAGCUACUUUCUUAAGCAUAUUUAAACUAUAAUAUUUCAGUUUUAACUCAGUUCAUAUUUAAACUUUCUUCCAAUAAAAGUUUAUUAAUUUCAAACUUUCUUAAUUUCCGUCUUUAUAUUUUCAAUUUCUGUCUAUUUUUUUAUAUUUAUUUAAAGAAUUUAUUUUGAUUUAUAAAUUGCUUUAUGUUCCAUAUGGAAGUGGUAUCAAAAUUAAGUGUUACUUAAGAUUUGAGUAAUAUAUACAAGUAUAAAACAAUAGCAAAUAUUAAAGUCCAUAGAAAAAGCAAGUGUGUACGAGUUCAGGAGAAUGUAGGUGUGAGGGUUUUUGUAAGUAUGAGCAUGAGAGAGGGAGAUGGAUUGUACCUUUAGCAACUCCAUUUCUUCUUUUGUGGAAUGAAAUUUACUGACAUUCUUGACCUGGUCAAUGUCAGCAAAGAGAACUUAGUUAGGCAGAGUUUGAUAUGCAAAGUAUCAAAAGCAUUUUUGCAUUGACCAGCAAGUUGAACAAUUCCAGGGUUUGCCUUAUGCUGAAUAUUAUCUUCUUUAUUUGGCUAAUUGCAAUAUCCUCAAAUUCUUUACUUGGCUGGUUGUGGUAUCCUCAAAUUUCUAAAAGAAGCCAUAUUGAGCAUGGGAAAGGAAAACAAAAAGUGCAUUUAGAAAACCAAUUAACUAAUAUUUCUUGAACAAAUCAUAUAUCACCGAACAAAACAUUUAAUAAAAAAUUUAAAUAUUAAUCAUAAUAACCAAAAAUAAAAAAUAAAAAGAGAGAAUUUUUAUAAUUUAAGAUCUUUGAAAUCAUAUUCAUUAUAUAUAUAUAUAUAUAGAGAGAGAGAGAGAGAGAACUUAAAUUUAUUAGUUUAUAUAAAUAUGCACAUAUUCCAUCACAAAAUCAAAUAUUACUAAUUCAAGAAAGAAGAAUCUAAUCAAAAUGAAUUUGAUAAUCAAAAUAAAUGUCUUCUGAUUCAAAAUAUUCAAUUGUAUCUUCUACUUCUUCUUUGUUAAUCAUUAAACUAAUCAUUAAUUUUCUUAGUUUGUCACUUAUUUUUAAAGAAUUUAUUUUAUUUUUUAAUUGACAAUAUUUUGAAUAAAGUCCUACUUUUCUGCACUUAUAACAUUUUGGUGUUUUCUUUUUAAAAUUUGAUUUGACAAGGUUUUUGAUUUGUUAUUUUUUUUAUAUCUUUCUUUUGAACUUUUGUUUCAUUUGAUGACUUAAGACUCUUUAUAUUAUUUGGUUUAUUAUUUUUGUUUUUUAUUUUUGAAAGGGCUACUAAAGUAUCGUAUCCAUAAUAUGAACAAAAAUUUCCCAAUUCCUUUUUACUAUCUUGUCUUUCCUUUUUCAUCUAACUCUUGAGUUUGAGAUCUGUACAAAGAGCUAAACCUUCAUUAUUGAUGAAUAUAAUUAAUUCUUCAUAAAUUAAUGAUUUAUAAGGAAUUCUUCCAUUAUGUAAAUAUCUAAUUCUUUUUCUAAUCUUUUCUAUAAAUAAUGUGGGUAAUCCUAAUAUAAGAUUUUCGUUCCAAUAGUGAUUUCUACAAUAUGAUCUUGUCAUGACUUUGACUAAAAAUAUGUCUUUAUACCAUUUGAAAUUUUGAAGAGUUGGACAUCUAAGAUUAUUGAAUAUUUUUUAAGUUCCUUCUUGAAAAUAAAUUGGAUCUCUUAUGAAAUGUUUAUUGUUAUUACAAAUAUUAAAAUAUUGAUAACAUCUUCUUUAAUAAUUUAAACAAAUGUUCCUUCUUCCUUAACUACUAUUUUUCUUGCAUUUAAUAUUUAUUCUAUUUUAUUUUGAUUAAAAUAAUAAUACCACCAUCCUUUGAGUAAGCUAGUGAAUCAUAUAACUAAAACACCAGCAAGAGAUGAAAUUGAUAAAGAUGACAUUGUUGAUGUUGUUGAAGAGACAAGAGAUGAAAUUGAUAAAGAUGAAGUUAUUGUUGAUGUUGAUGUUAAUGUUUCUCUUGAUGUUGAUGUUUCUCCUACCUUCUUUACCAAAGUAGAAGAAAAUAAAACUUGAGAAAUUUUUGUUGUUUAUUGACUAAGAUGUUGGAGAGUAUGAUUGGUAUAAUGUAAUUGUUGUUGGACUUGUUUAAUAUCUUUGUAAAUUAUGGGACUUUCCUCAUUUUUAAUUCUGAGAAUGUUGAAGGGUGAAGUAGAGAUGGAAUUAUUGUCAAAAUUAAAUUGACAAUUAUUUAAGGGUGAUUGUGAUCCUAAUUUUAUAGUUAUGGUUGCAAUUCAUUUUUUUCUUGAUUAAUAGAUAAAUGAUUUAAUGAUUGUUGUACUCCUAGUUCUACUGUUACGGUUGUAAUACAUUUGGAGAGUUUCUUGAAUUUGAAAAACCAAUGGAAAAAAGAAAUUGUCAUUUUAAUUUGUUACAUGUAAUUUCCAUAUUGUUAAUGUAAAGCAUUUCUAGUAUGAGGAGAAAGAGUUUUGAAAUAUGCUCUUUUGGCGUCAUUGUAAAGUGAGAAAAAAAAAAUCAUGUUUGAUAAAAGCAGUAUAAAAAACAAAAGGAUUUUCUUAUAAUUUCUUUUUUUGAAUAACAUAUACUUGGAAAGUACACAUAUUACAAUGAGUAGGAGGCAUAGAUGGAGAUUCUUAUUGUUGAUAAGUAGGAAUAGGAAUAUUUGGAAUAAAAUUGAUACUAUUUAAAAUUAUAUUUGAAGUAGAAGGUCUUGAAGAAAGAAAUUCUUAAGAAAAGAGAUAUCUUGGAGAUUGACCAAAUUCUAUUUAAAUAGUAUCAUAUGUGUGUUGUAUAAUUUUUGAAAGAUUUGUUGAAGGUUUGAUGGGUUUGAGAUUUGUUAAAUCUUUUAAUUCCCAUUGACCUCCAUGAAUAAUUUCAUUCCAUUUGAGAUUUUCAGGAACAAAAAAGCUGGAGUAUUAUGAAGAUUAUAUUGUAACAAUAAUGUUUUAUCUUUGAUGGAUUGACAUAUAACUCUAACAUUAAAUUGAGUAGUGAUUACUUUGUAAUAUAUUCUAUAUAUUAUUGCUAUUAAUUGAUCUUGUUCUACAAAAUUCAUAUUUUUUUAUCUUAAUGUUUAAAGUUAAGCUUGACAAAAUACUUGUUUAAUUUAAAUUCAUUAAAAAAUUUGGAAAACAAUUGAAAUAAAUAUGACUAUUUGCAAGGUUUGAAUCAAUCAUACUAAGAAAAAAAAAAGUUGUUGCCCUAGCAUCUCUUAGGUAGAAAAGUACACGAAUAUCUAAACCUAAGUGAAAUAAGGGUUUGAUGGCAACUUGUACUAAUCUUAUGUGGACAUAAUUAAAUUUUCUUUUGCGUUGAUUAAUUGUGUUGACUCAAUAAUUGUACUUUCUAAAUUUUGAUUAAGAUAAAUAGUUUGUUCUUCAGUUUUGAUUACAUAAUUUUGAAGCAAUUCAAAUUUACUUUGUUGAUAAAUUGUAUUAAUUUUCAUAUGGGAUAUUGGCCAAUUAUGUAACUAUUUAUGAUAUUUUGACUAGAUGUUGAUGUGUAUGAAUAUGCAAAAUUAUCAUAUGCAAACUAUUAGACAUAAGAGAUUUAGAUGAACUAGAUGUUGAUGUGUAUGAAUAUGCAGAAUUAUCAUAUGCGUGUAGAACUAUUAGACCUAAGAGAUCUAGAUGAACUAAAUCUGCUAAACUUUUUUAUUUUAUUUUAUGAUAUUACUCAUUGACACAUAAUACAAUCACAAUCUUAUCAUUUAUUAAAUUCAAAUGAUUUUUUGAAUAAGGACCACCCAAUCGAUCACAAAAGGACUUACUCUCUUUUUGCCCUUCAACAACACCUUCGCUCACAAAAAAUUUAGUUUGAACUAACUUCAAACUUAAUUAAUGAUUACAAACUAUUCCAAAUCAUAAUAUUACUUACAUCUAUAAACAAAAUUUGGCUCUGAUACAAUUUCAACCCAAAACAUAAAAUAAUUCAUAAAUCAAAAUAAAAUUCUAGAAAUAAAUAUAUAAAACAGAAAUAAAAGACAUAAAUAAAGACACAAGCCAAGUUUUGCAUCUAAAGUUUUAACUGAUUUCAUAUUUAAACCUUCAUUCUUCUUUCAUUUCAAAUAAACAUAUGUAUGACUUAAAAAUCGAAUAGCACCCGAACAUCUAAAACCUUAAUAAUUUUUUUUAUAAAAAACAAACAAGUAUUAAAUUUUUAGUUAAUAAAAAAAAUUAUUAAAUAGCAUAGAGUAUUUUAUGAUGCAUGCAAGACAUUAGAAGUGAAAGGUAUAUAUUAGAAUCCGUAUGACAUAUUAAGAAUUUUUAGCGAAUAAAUUAUUUAAUUAUUUUUUCUAUAAAAAAGAGUAAUAUAUAUAUAAAAUAUAUAUAUAUAUAUGGAAAGGCAAAGUUUUGAGAAAUAUAAAAACAUAAAAAUAAUUAAAUAAAUAAACUGUUUAAAUUCAUUGUAAAAAAGAAUAAUAUAUAUAAAAAAAAAUGAAAAGAAGAUUGAGAGGAGUAUGAAAAGAAGAAUUUUUAACAAAUGAAAAGUAUUUUAUAAUGCAUGGAUAUAUAUAUGGAACUUUCAAUAUGUGAAAAGAAGUGUUUAGGGAUGAAAAAUUCUUCAAAUACUUCAAAAUUUUCAAAUUUAUAAGUACUAUAGAUUUUUUUUAUAAAAAAAAUAGAAAAUAUAAAUAAUUUUUAAUUAUAUUUUAAUUUUUGAAAAUUUAAACAUAUUCAAUGAUUCUAAUUUUAUUUUUUGUUUGCAAAAAUAAAAAGUAUAUUUAAUAAUUAUAUAACAAAAAUAGUAAAAAAAUUGACAUCUUUUCAUAUUUUUAGAAUUUUUUUAGUAAAUUACAACAAUAUUUUAAUAUAUACUUAUGGUACCUUAAUAUUCUUAAUGUGGAAAAAUUAUGAAUGCAAUACUUUCUUGUUUUUAAUGAUUUUAAAAGGAAAAUCUUCUCUAUUAUACCUUCAUUUUUUUUAUUUUUUGAAUAUUUCUAUCAAAUUUUGAACUUAAAAAAAUAAAACAAUCCAUUAAACACGUUUUUUAUAAUUAUUUUUAUACUUUUAAUUAAAAAAAAAAAUGCAACCAAACAUACCGUAAAUUAAUGGUGGUUACUUCAAUGGGAAUCUGGAAGCUGCACCCAAUAGAUGGAAGCAUAGGAGCCUUGAUGGGGGAUCACUUGAAGGCCAAGAAAAGAGAUUAUUUUUGAGUUUUCUUGUUAAUUUGCACUCUCUUUUUUUCAGUGUCUUAAUGCAAUCAUACGUGUAAUAACGUGGCUUGUAUUCUAAGAAGUCACAUUUGUCAAAACUAGAGCAAGAAAAAGAUGGUUGUGUAUUUUUUUUUAAAUCAAUUCAUAUAAUAAUAUAAUGUGACAAUGAUUUAUGUAACCUGACCCACAAAAAUGGUUGGUAUGGUUCAAUCUUUUGGCACGUCAUUCACGUACGUGGUCCCUAAUGUUUUUCCUCUGUUUUCGAUUUUAAACGUGAUUCCUUGCGAACGUGAUUUCAAAUGAGAGAGAAUCUGAGUAAGGUACAAACCCACCUGGCUGCAUAGAGUUGGAAGCUACUUUUGUUUUGCAUGGACCUUUUCAUUAGUCUGAAUGGGUAGGGCCACUUCACCUAAAUUAUUCAGAUAUUUAGAAUGUUGUGUUUGAAUCUUAGAAAAUAUCAAGGAAAAAGGAAGUGAACUAUUAUAAAUGAAUUUAAUAUAUAUAUAUAUAUAUUUUCAUUUUCACAUACCUUAGGGUCAAAUGUUGGAGUUGUCUUCGGGUGUCCAAGUGGGCUCACCCAUCUAACCCAAUAAAUAAGAAAAUUGGGGUGCAGUUGCUGGAAGUGUUGAAAUUACCCAAAAACUAUCAUUAUUAAAAAUAAAAAAGAUUUUUUUUUUUUCUAAAUCAAAUGUUUUCUCUUUUAGUUUUUUUGAGUUUUCUUUGUGAAAACAAAAGUCGAAACUCUUAUGUUGUUGAAAAGAAUGAUUCUCGUAUUUAUAAUUUCAUUUAUGAUUUGAGGCGAGAAAAUUGGUUAGUGAAAUAACUAAUUGAGAUUUCUUAAAUAUUUUAGAAAAUAAUCCAAAAGUCUUAUUUUACAUCACCAACAAUCUUCCCUACUUUUUUUUUUUUUUUUCCCUUUUCCAACUCAUUGUCAAAAAGAAUUUCGCCUAAUGAACCUAUAUUAUGUUACUCAUCAUCAAUGGUACUUUGAUUUUUUUUUUUUUUUCAUUCAACCAUCAAAUUCUUCAAUUCUUUUCAUCUUUUUGCAUCUUUUAAUAUUCCAUUUUCUUUUUACACCAAAAAUUCCUAUAUACUAUGAUUUUGUAGAAACAAUAUAUAGAUUAUGGACAAACUUACUAUAUUUUGAAGGUAUUGGGGAUUUUUCUUUCAGUACACAAUACAGAUAGACAAACAUAACUUCAUUGUAUCUUAGAGACAUAUGUGCUAUACUAUUGUGCAUAAUAAAAUUGGUGGGGAUAAAUAACAUCCUAAGGAAAUCGACAUUAUAUCAUGCCUUGAAGCACUCUAGUUUCCAAUUUUAUUAUUUAUAUUAUAUGCAUCAUACCUUCACUAUGUGCUACUUCAACUUCAAUAUUACGAUACUCACAAUUUUUCUCUAACAUUAUGAAGACAUUAUUAUGGUAAAAUGCCAUCAUUGUCACCUCUUUGUGAGUUUUCUGUUGAUUUUUUUAUGGAAAAUUUUAUAUUGUUUGCUUCAAGGGUCAAUAUGAAAGGCUACAUUUUUUGCUAGCAAGAAGAAAUUUUUGCAGAAACUUGUGUGUGGCAUAAAUAAGAGCAAGAUGACUACGAAAGUGAUACAAAAUUCUCUGGAAGAUGCAUAUCUAAUGAAGGAUUCCAUAAGUAAAAAAGUCUUGGCUUUUAAGUUUUAUAAUUACAAAAUGGUUGAUACAAGUCAUGUGGUAGAAUAAGUUCAUGAGAUCAUGCAUAUUAUUAAUCAGUUUUGUAAACAUAAUAUACAUAUGGAUGAUUCAAUUAUUGUAUCUUCUAGCUAUUAUUGAUAAACUUCUUGCCUCCUAGAAAGAUUACAAAAAAAGUCUCAUGCGCAAAAAGAGAACAUUACUCUUGAAGAGUUGGGUCAAUACCUUUUGAAAGUAUGAAUCUUGCAUCAUGGAACUAGCUAUUAGAGGGAGGGUGAAUAGGUAGUCCUUCUUUUAUGGCCCAAAAAUUAUAUUUCUAAUAUUUUUAUUGAUUCUUUGAUCAAUACGUGUGUUUAAUAAUUAAAACAAAGAACAAUCCCACAAUUAACAUAUGAUAUGUAUGGAAAGCCUGUUGGGAUUUUGUUUAUCCUAGACCUUCGGUAACAAAUUGAAAAUGUGAUUCGGAAUGUGGUCCACAUUCAUUCCAUCAAUUUAGGAAUGGGGAUUAACAUUUGGAACCACACUCGCAUCACUACUCCAUGUUUUGUGCAUGCUCAAAGCAAACUCUGUGAUGGAAAGAGUCUUUAAAAAGGGUAGAGCACUAAUGGGUUGGGUCCCUAAGCCUUCAAUAUCUUUCAAUCUCAAAAUACACCAUCUAAGAAGAGGUUGAGAAAGGUUUAGAAGCACCUAAAACCAAAAUAAAAACAAAAAUAAAGACAUCGUUUUUAACCUGUGAGUAUGUGAGAAUGGCAAUGAUGAGAUAUACAUUUUCAAUCUGUUUUCAAAUUCUGCUUAUGAUCUAAUUGUUAUUUAAGGAUUGUUAUGAUCAUGUUUAGUUAAUUUAUGUCUUACAAUUGGUAUCAGAGCCUUGUAUGCCUUAGCCUUGUUCGUUUUUGCAAUCUAUGUUUUUUAAUAUAAAAAAAUACAAUAAGUUUUGGUAUUUUGGAGUUUAUGGUUUUUUUGAAGUUUUUGAUGAAAAAUAUGGUUAGAAAUCAUUAGGAAAUAAGAUUUCUAACAUUUGACUACAUGGGGCAUGUCAUUUUGACUAUAAAGAAGGAAUAAAGAAGUAAAAAGAAAUAAGAAAAGGGGCAAUAGCUUGGUUGGUCUUAGCCUUACCUUCUCCUAGUCGUUGCCCAAGUUUGACUCCUUCAGUAGCAAGCUUGAUUUUUUUUUUUUUUUUUUAAUGGAAAUUCAUAAAAUUUAGUGUUUUAAGAUCUUUUAAUUUAUAGACUUCUUUAUGGAUAUUUUAUGUUCUAAAUUAUUUAUUUUUGUUAUUUGUAUGUAUAUUUUCUAUGGUUUAUAAUGCAUGCAACAUUUAGUUAAAUAAUUUUGCACGCUAAAUUAAUUUUUAAAGGCUCUUUAUGGAUUUAAUUUUAAAUAUUUAUGUGCUAAUAAUAUUUAUUUCAUGAUUUUGUGUGUACGAUUUAUUGUUUUAUUAUACAUGCAAUAUUGAGUUGAAUAAUAUUAGUACAUUGAUAUUGAGUUUUGUGUACAUUACUUAUGGUUUCAUGCAAUUUAUAUGAGCUUUUCUUGUGAAUUAAUUAAAUGUCAAGUGAUCCAUAUAAUUUUAAUUAAUUAGGGAGUAGCCCCAACAUCUUUAAUUAUGCAAAAUUAUAUGUUAAGUGUUUUAGGAUCACAUAUAGAAAAAUGACAUGUCGGGUAAUUAAUCAUAUUUGAUAUAAUAAAAUUUUAUCCCACAAGAAUUUUUAUUAUAUUUGUAUGAUUAGUUAGGAUGGAAUAUCAAAUUAUAUUUCUUAAUUACCCACGAGAAUUAGGAAAGGGAACAUAAUUUGAUAGUUUUAUCAUAAGGUUCUACAUAAAUCUAAUUGAAUUAGAACUUUAGCCCACAAGCAAGUUUCAUGUCACUAGAUUCAUAAUUUUGGAACUUGGUUUACAUUGGUAAAACAUGAUAUAUGGUUAUUAGUGUCAAUUUUGAAUUAUAAGCAUGUAUGUUUAUUUUUAUGCAGUCAUGCAACUUGUGAAUUUCUUUGAUAUAAAAUGUGAUAUUCUCAAAUUGAAAGGUGAUAACUAUGAGGUUUGGAAGGCAAUAAUUCUCCUUUAUUUGGGGUGCAUGGACAUUGAUUAUGCUAUCAAGAAAGACAAGCCAACCAUUACUGACACUAGCACUACAGCUAAAAAGGCUCUUUGUGAACAAUGGGAGCGAUCAAAUCGCCUUAGUGUGAUGUUCAUAAAUACCAAAAUCUCUACUGGUAAUCGUGGUUUUGUCGAUCAGCACGACAAUGUCAAGGCAUUAUUGAUGGCUAUUGAUGAGCAAUUUGUGACUUUAGAUAAGGCACUUGCUAGCACCUUGAUAAUGAAGUUUUCAUCCUUAAGGCUCACCGAUGUGAGUGGUGUGCGAGAGUACAUAAUGCAGAUGAGGGACAUUGUGACACAAUUGAAGACACUUGAGGUUGAAAUGUCUAACUCCUUCCUUGUGCACUAUAUUUUGAACACUCUUCCACAACAAUAUGGACCCUUCAAAAUAUCUUACAACACACACAAGGAUAAGUGGUCAAUUAAUGAGCUUUUGACCAUGUGUGUUCAGAAUGAGAGAAGACUGAAAAUGGAAUUGGGUGAGAGUGCAUUAAUGGCAACAAAAUGAAAUGAUCAAAAUCAGGCCAAAAAGAAAGAGAAAGGUAAAAUACCGCCCCAAGGUGGAAUCAAGAAGGCAAAUAAGUGCUUAUUUUGCAAGAAGAAGGGGCACAUGAAGAAGGGUUGCACCAAAUUCUAGAAAUAGCUUGAGAAGAUAGGUAAACCAAGCUCAUUUGUUUGUUAUGAAUCUAAUAUGGUUGAUGUUAUUUAUAACACAUGGUGGAUUGAUUCUAGUUCUACAAUCCAUGUUUUGAAUACCUUGCAGGGUAUGUGAAACUUAAGGAAGCCAAUGCCAAGUGAGCAAUGCAUUUAUUCAAGAAAUAAGAUGUGUUCACAUGUGGAGGCUAUUGGAACAUGUAGUUUAGUUUUAAGUAGUGGUUUUAUCUUGAAUUUAGAAAAGACAUUUUAUAUUCCAAGUUUCUCUAGGAGUUUGAUUUCAGUUUCAAGAGUUGUACCUUUGGGUUAUUUCUUUAGUUCUUAUGAGACAUCUUUAAGUUUGUUUUAUAAAUUUAAUUUUUUGUAAAAUGGUACAUUGUUUGAUGGUCUUUUCUUUAUCAAUUUGCAAAACGAUACCACUAAUAACACUAUGCAUGUUCACACUGGUACAAAAUGAUGUGUUAUGAAUGAAGAUACCUCUAUGUUGUGGCAUCGGAGAUUGGGACAUAUCUCCAUAUAGAGAAUUAAGAGAUUAGUAAAUGAUGAAAUACUCAACACUUUAGAUUUUAUUGAUUUUGACACUUGCGUGGACUACAUUAAGGGAAAGCAAACAACAAGUCUAAGAAGGGUGCCAAGAGGAGCACAUACAUAUUAGAGAUCAUGCAUUCAGAUAUUUGUUGUCUAAACAUGGAUACGUAUGGUCCAAAAUCCUUCAUCUCCUUCAUAGAUGAUUACCCACGAUACGUGUAUAUCUACUUGCUUCAUAACAAGAAUAAAGCACUAGACGCCUUUAAAGUUUUUAAGGUUGAAGUAGAGAAACAAUGUGGAAAACAAAUAAAGAUCAUGAGAAUAGAUAGAGGUGGAGAAUAUUAUGGUAGAUACACCGAAGAUGGACAAGCACCUAGUCUGUUUGCAAAAUUUCUUCAAGAGCAUGGGAUAGUUGCUCCAUACACCAUGCCUAAUUCCCCAUACUAGAAUGACGUGACAAAAAGAAGAAAUCAAACAUUAAUGGACAUGGUUAGGAGUAUGCGUAGCAACUCCAAGCUUCCUAAAUCCUUGUGGACUGAAGUUCUUUAAAUGACAGUGUAUAUAUUGAAUCAGGUUCCAACAAAGGUUGUCCCUAAGAUGCCAUUUGAAUUAUGAAAAAAAUUGGAAAUCGAGUUUGUGACAUAUACGUGUUUGAGAUGCCUGUCUGAAGUAAGAGUUUACAACCCACAAAAGAAGAAACUAGACCCAAAGACCAUUAGUGCGUAUUUCAUUGGAUAUGCCAAAAGGUCUAAAUGGUAUAGAUUCUACUGUCCAUCUCACAACACUAGGAUUGUGGAGUCAAGAAAUGCUAAGUUUCUUGAGAAUGACUUGAUUAGUGAGAGCGAUUGAUUUCAGGACAUUGUUUUUGAAAGAGAUCAGAUUGAUGCUCAACCUUUCACUUCAAGUGAUAGAUUGAUUGUCAUUCACAACACCCCUCAAGUUCAAACAGGUGAUGGACAACCAAUCAUUGAAGUUCCACAAACUGUUGAUGACAAUCUAGUAGAUCAAGUUGUUCAAGAUUCACCAGAAAUUGUUGACCAAUCGAUUGAGCAGCAUGAUCCUCAAGAAAUGUUGAUACAAUAUUAAGAAGAUCUAUCAAAGCAAUAAAAACAACAAUACCUAGUGAUUAUGUUGUGAAUCUACAAGAAUCAAACUACAAAAUUGGAGCCAAAUAUGAUCUUAAAACAUUUUCACAAGCCAUAAGUUGCAAAUAGUCAAAUUUAUGGUAUGAUGCUAUGAAAGAUGAGAUGAAUUCUAUGGCAUCUAACAGAGUCUGGAAUCUUGUUUAGUUGUCUGAUGGUGUAAAAGCCAUUUGAUGUAAAUGGGUCUUCAAUACAAAGAAAGAUUCAUUGGCUAACAUUAAAAGACACAAAACAAGACUCGUUGCUAAAGGAUUCACUCAAAAGAAAGGAAUCAACUACAAUGAGGCUUUUUCUCCUUUAUCUAAGAAAGAUUCUCUUCGUAUCAUUGUGACAUUAGUUGCAUAUUUUGACUUAGAGUUGCAACAAAUGGAUGUGAAAACAGCCUUUCAUAAUGGAAAUCUAGAGGAAGAGGUUUACAUAAAAUAACCAGAAGGAUUUUCCUCUAGUAGUGGUGAACAUCUGGUAUGUAAGCUUAAUAAAUCCAUAUAUGGAUUGAAACAAGCAUCCCAUUUGUGGUAUUUGAAGUUUCAUGAUGUUAUCUCUUCAUUUGGUUCCAUGGAGAACAUUAUGGAUCAAUGUAUGUACUAGAAGGUCAGUGGGAGUAAGAUUUGUUUCCUUAUUCUAUAUGUGGAUGACAUUUUACUUGCAACCAGUGAAAAGGGUUUGCUACAUGAGGUGAAACAAUUACUCUCUAAAAACUUUGACAUGAAGAAUAUGGGUGAUAUGACUUAUGUCAUUGGCAUUAAGAUACUUAUAGAUAGAUUUCGAGGCUUUUUGGGUCUGUCCUAAGAAACCUAUAUCAACAAGGUUUUAGAGAGAUUUCAGAUAAAGGAUUGUUCACCAAGUAUAGCUCCCAUUGUGAAGGGCGAUAGGUUCAAUUUGGACCAAUGCCCGAAGAAUGAUAUUUUGUGGGAACAAAUGAAGAACAUUUUUUAUGCUUAUGUUGUUGGAAGCUUGAUGUAUGCUUAGGUCUACACAAGCCUUGACAUUGCAUUUUUGUUGGGAUGUUAGGAAGAUAUCAGAGUAAUCUAGGUAUAGACCAUUGGAAAGUUGCAAAGAAGGUGAUGAGGUACCUUCAGGGGACCAAAUACUACAUGCUUAUGUAUAGAUGGACUGAUAAUUUGGAAGUAAUUGACUACUCUGACUCGGACUAUGCUGGCUGCAUUGAUUUGCGAAAAUCAACUUUAAGAUGUCUUUAUGCUAGUUGGUGGAGUUGUUUCUUGAAGAAGCAUAAAACAGACUUUGACUACAACUUCCACUAUGGAGGCUGCGUUUGUGUCUUGUUUCGAGGCUACCUCGCAAGGUGUAUGGUUAAAGAGUUUCAUUUUUGGGCUUAGAGUUGUGGAUUCAAUUUCUAGGCUAUAAUGGAUAUACUGUGACAAUUCAGCUGUAAUUUUUAUGGCUAAGAACAACAAAAGUAGUAGUCGAAACAAGUACAUCGACAUCAAAUAUUUAGCCAUAAGAGAACGUGUUAAAGAGAAAACAGUGGUUGUUGAACACAUUAGCACUGAAUUAAUGAUUGUUGAUCCUUUGACUAAAGGCGUUCCACCGUUGAAAUUUAAGGAUCAUGUGGAUAGAUCGGGAAUUGGUUCCUUUGUGUGACUUUCAUUGUAAGAAUGAAUGUUAUUUUUAAUGAAACUCUAUUUGUGAUGUUUUCUCAUAUUUGAUUUUCUUUGUCUACACUUUUAUUUAUUUAUUGAGAAAUAUCAUUAAUGUUUAGACCUAGAAUAAACAUAGGAUUUAUUCAUUAAGUUGUAUGAGCUAGUGUUUAAGGGACGUGAUGCAUUGUGAUACAUGGAAGAUAAUACUCAAUUUUAGAGGAACUAUCGCCUGAUUCAUGUGUUUUGUUUCUUGCUAUGGUGAAUGAUGGAAUAUAUGGACCAGGUGGGAGAAUGCUGGGAUUUUGUUUCUCCUGGACCUUCAGUAACAAACUAAAUACGUGAUUCAGAAUGUGGCCCACAUUCAUUCCAUCAAUUUAAGAACGAGGAUUAACAUUCAGAACCACGUUUGCAUCAUUACCCUAUGUUUUGUGCAUGCUCGAAGUAGACUUUAUGAUGGAAAGAGUCUUUAAAAAUGGCAAAGCACUAAUGGGUUGGGUCCCCUAAGCCUUCAAUCUCUUUCAGUCUCAAAAAACACCAUCUAAGAAGAGGUUGAGAAAGGUUUAGAAGCACCUAAAACCCAAAAUAAUAAUAAUAAUAAUAAUAAUAAAGACACUAUUUUUAACCUACGAGUGUGUGAGAAUGGUAAUGUCAUUCUCCCUUUUCAAUAUAGAGAGAAAACCCUAGUCUCCACCAUCUCAGUGCCUGCACACAAGGAAGAGUCAUCGAACGAAAAAUCUUGGGUGUACGAGAAGCACACUAGAAUUACAUAGGUCGCACACACGAGAACUGCAUGGGAUACACAUAGGUUGUGUGCACAAGAAUCGCACGUGAUGUGUACAAGCCAUGUGCAUGGGAAUCUCACGGGAUGCACAUGUGGAUAGCAACAUGAUAAGAGAUUCUCCGAUUUUUCUAGGCAUGUUCUUCACCACAAUGAAUUGAUCUGGGAACAUCCAAAUCCAUGUAUGAGCACAUUUUCUUUAGAUCUUUAUUUUAUAAUGGUUUUUGAAGCCAUUAUUUUCCAUUGCGUUAGAUCUAGAGAGCCUUAAGGAUAGAUGCAUGCACUCUAUGAGAUCUAAGGCAUGGGAAUGGAGUAAUACAGGGUUCCAAACAAGUACAACCAUCAAUCUUGAGAUGUUAGAUGGGAGAGGGUGGUUAUACUUCCCUUUUUAAUGUGACAACAUGGUGAUGUGGAGAAAUCAAUCAAAACUCCAAGAGCACCAAGUGUGUGUUCUGCCUUGAUAAGUGUAGACUGAUUAGAAGAUAUAACAUUAGCACAAGGUGGAGCGAUCAAGGUAUUGCGUUGAGGUAGAUGUCAUUUGAGGUGCGAUUCAUUGUUUGAUGAGAGAAGAGGGCAUUGAGAAAAAUUGUGUACUUAAGGUUGUUAGGGUGUGCUUGAGUUGUGUCAUCUUUCCCGCCUUCUUAAGGAAUAUGAGUUUUGGCUUGUUUCUUUAUUGUUUGAUGAAUUGAAACUACCUUUUCCUCAAUUGUCUUGGCCACAUCCAUGAUUGCGUCCAUAAUAAUUUUGACUUCGAUCUUUCAUUAAAAUUUUCUUUAUUCUCUUUUAGUAUUACUUUUUGUUUGAAGAACUUGUUCUCAUUUUUCUUAGUAUUUUAUUUUUAAUCUCUCUUCAUGAACUUGCAAUGAUCCCACAAGUUGAUCAAUGAUCAUAGAAUCUAAAUCUUUAGAUUCUUCAAUGGCCAUAACAAUAUAUCAAACCCCAAAUCUAAUUAAAGAUUGAAGUAUUUUUUCAAUCACAUGAGUAUCAUUUAAAUUCUUACCAUUUCUUUUUAAUAAAUUCCUAGUAGUCAAUACUCUAAAAAAAUAAUUGAAGAUUGAUUCUAAUUCCUUCAUAUUUAAACCUUCAAAUUCUCUUCUAAACUUUGAAGAUGAUCUUUUUACAUCUUAUCAACUCCCUUAUGUGUAGUUUGUAAUGUCUCCUAGACAUCCUUAGAAGUCAUUGCACUUGAAAUGUUCUCAAAAGUAACUUCAUCCAUUUCUUGAUGGAUGAUGGUGAGAUCUUUCUUGUCUCUUUUCCUCAUAUCUUUUCAAGAAAAUAUCCUUUUCAUUUAGUGAUAGAGUGGUUUCAUCUUGUAGCUCUUUAUAGCAUUUCUCUAUAACCUCCCAUGUACCUUGUAAACCAAGCAAAGCCUUCAUCUUGAUACUCCAAUUGUCAUAAUUGUUUGUAUUGAGUUGAGGGACUUGAAACAAAUAAAUCCCACUUGCCAUCUUUUUGUAUGGCUCUGAUACUAAUUUGUUAGAGUAAUAGCGUUGAUAGAGAAACACAAACAAUUACAAAGAAGAUAAAAUUGAGGAGAAUUAAAAAUUUAUUGUAUUCUACCACUCUCUCUUAUUCACAUAUUACAUAAUCACUUAUUUAUAAAUACUCACACUUAACUAAGCAGAAACUUCUAAUAAUAAAAUAUAGAAAUCUUCUAGAACUUGACUACCCAAAAAUAGAAACUAAAAUAACCACUCAAAAUAAAAUAUUCUACUUGAUUUUUUUAUAAACUAAUCUAAUUGUAAUAUUUAGACAAUUUCUAAUCAAGUUUAACCUUUCAAUAGAUCUAUGAAACAAAACUCCUACAAAGACUCCAAUCUUCUUGUAGUAGUGGGAGAACUAUACCUCUAUGUAAAAGUUUGGCCAUCAUCCUCUGGAAGGUUAGGUUGGUGCAUGGUAGAAUAUUCCCACCCUAAUGUGGCAUAGUCGGCAACCCAAAAGCUUUAGCAAGGGACUCCUUAGUGACUACUCCUAUACUACAACUAAUAAAAUAGUACAAUAUCAAUCCUCUCUAAUGUAGCAUAAAAAUCUCUUACUAUUGCUAUAUAGAAAAAUUCAAUAGGAUUCAUCAAAUGCUCUAUCCCAUACCUUCUUAAUAUAUGCAUAGAGCUCCUCAUCUUUGACAAAACAUUGAAUUUUGCCAUAACAUAAUCAUACUACAUAGAAAACUCUUUUCUUUAAAAAAAUAUGUCUUGAUCUUUUUUUAGCUAGAGCAAGUCUCCUAGGCACUAGAAUAUUAAUCUCUCAACUCGACAUAAAUUUUCCUUUUUCCCUCUCACUUUCCUUUCUCUAUUGAUUUUUUUUCAACCCUCUUAAUAGUUGCUAGGUCGAAAGUAGGAAGCAUGCUUCUAGAUCCUAGGCCUAGCAAAAAUAUAUGUCAAUUUUAAUUUUUCAUUUUUCAUUUUUUUUAUUAUUUUUUUUUAACUUCUAACGUGUUUGAAGACAUACCUUAGAUUAAUGGAUGUUCUCAAAUCCUUUUUGAAGUUCAUGAAGAGUACUUCAAAGACUAAGCACCAUCCACCAGGUGGCUCUCCCUUUAAAUCUUGGCACAAAGAAAAGUGUGGGCUUCUCUUUUAUCUUGAGAGAAUGGUAGGUAGGGUUCUCUCUAUGCAAAAUGGAAGAUGAAAAGUUAUCCUAACCCUAAACUUUAAGAUGGUUUACAUACACUACUAAUGUGCUUAAUGACUAGGGUCCAUCAUAUAGGCUUAAAUCACUUAAUCCAACCAAUUAUGGCCUAUUUAAUUAGUUGACCCAUUAAGUGAGAUCUAAUUAAUUAAUGAAAUAGCCUAAGUAGAAACCAUAAGCCACUUAAUUAUAAUCGCUUAUACAACCUUGUGCUUAUGUGUAAGUAUUAUUAUAUGCACAUAUAAUUAAUUAAAUAAACCUAAAAAACAUGUAUCAUUAAAGGAUGUGAGCAAGCUUUAAUGAAUUAAAUAGCUCAUGUAGAAACCAAAAGCCACUUAAUUAUAAUCACUUGUAUGAACCUUGUGCUUAUGUGUAAGCUCUCUUAUGCUUAUACUGAAGCCUUAUUACACACGUAUAUAAUUAAUUAAAUAAACCUCAAAAACAUGUAUUAUCAAAGGAUGUGAGCUCAAGUGGGGACCACUAAGAUCCAAAAGAAAAUAUUAGUUCCCUUAGAAUCAAAUUCUGAAAUUAAAUCAACAUUUCAUUAAAAAGAGUGAAUUGCACUCCAACAUCUUUUGAAAAUAAAAUCAAGAUAAAAUUAAUUAAUUAUCAAUGAAUUAAUUUUUAAGGUUUGUUACCUAUUUCAUUGCAAUCAAGUUACCUAUGAACCAAUGUUUGUAAUCUAACAAGAAAAUAGCUAUCAACAUCUCAAGAUUACCUCUCCUAUCGUUGAGUCUCAAAUACAUCUAUAUCAUGAUCAAUUGACAUACUUUUGUUCACAAAAGACAUGUGUCAAAUUCCAUUGAAGGAAUUAUAAUGAUCAUGAAUUUCAUGAUCACAAAUGCUUAGGAUUACCCAAGUAGACAUACUAUCUCAAACCCAUAAGAUAUCAUGAUACCUUUAUGGAAAAUAUCUAUUACUACUUUAAACAAUUAGUCGCCUAAUCCAUAGGGAAUAUAUGAUGACAUGAGGAUCUCAUCCAUAGGUCAAAAUCAUUAAUGACCUAUGCACUAGUUCAAUACUCUCUCAACAUUUAGAGCCAUGCAACAUACUAGGUUGGAGAAGUCAUAACAAUUCGAUAACCAUCUAUUCAUGACUCGUCAUAGUUCCAUUCAAUGUUUAUCCACAUACACUAGUAAACUCACUAUAGAAAAAUUAUGGGAAAACUAUCUUGGUGACCAAGACAAGUCACCCUACCACUUUGGAUGUAGUGCACUACAACUGUUGAUGGAUUGCAAAAUUUUAUGAACCCAUUGUGAAUAACUUAGCACCUUGUAAGGAACCCAUUACUUGAAUCUUUCAUGCAAUUCCUAUUGUACUCAAGUUAUGUGCAAUACAACUAAUAUAGGCAUGAAUGUUCAUAUAAAUUAGAUAAAUAAUGCAAGUAUGGUAGAAAAUAAGUAAUAUAAUAUAUAAUGAAUCAAAUCUUAAUAUCAUGUCAAUGUUUUUAAGGACUCUAUUAUAAAAAUACUAAUUUUAAGAGUUAUCUCAACCUCAAGCUUCUUUUCAUUGUUUGUAUUACUUUAGAUUUCUUACUUGAUCUGUUAGUUAUAGCCACUUUCUUCACAAGUGACUUGGCUUGAAGAUGAGCUUUAGCCUUAGAUAGGACCUUCUAGGCCCCAAAAUUUGUCCUAACUCAUUAUAAUGUAAGCCCACCACUACACCCCUACACACAUGGUUUAUCUCCUUGGUUCAUGCUAUGUAUCUUAACCCAAUUUAGGCUCACACACUCUUAUCCAAAUACAAUUUAAGUCUUCUUACUCUUAGCCCAUGCACUUCUUUAUUCUAGUUUUAUCUUUAUCUUUAUUUUAUCUUAUUUUCACCCUUGUUUUUUAUUUUGCAUUUUCAAUUUGCAAUUUAAGAAAUCAUGUAGAAACAAAGAAAAUAAGAGAAGGAAAUAUGUGUUUUGAUUGAGACUUUUAAGGAAGAAAAUCAAUAUUUUUAAGAGAAACAAAUCAUAAUUUUGAGAGAAGAAUCAAGAUUUUAAAAAAGAAAAAUAAUUUUUUUUUAGGAACAAUAUAGAAAUUUUUGAAGUGAAAAAUCAUAAUUUUCAAAGAGAAAAGACAUAAUUUUUGAAGAAAAAAAAAUUAAAAUUUGAAAUGUAAGUUAGGAUGCAAAUCAUAAUUUUAGAGAAUUCAAAUCAUAAUUUUAAAAACCAUAAAAUGGCACAAAUAAGAAUUUUUGGUAAGCAUAAAGAAGGAAAAUUUGAAUUUUGGUUGGGAAAAGGCACAAUCAGAAUUUUUAGGUAUCAUGGUAAGACUUUCUUGGAAAAUCAGUAGAAUAUUUUGAAAAUGAAAUGCAUUGGAAACCUUCCAUCAUGGUUGUUAAACCAAAACUUGGUUAAUCAUAAUUUGAUGAUUACAAAAUAAGGUUUGGAACUAAUAGUUUUAUUCUAAGUGUGAUUAGACAAGAAGAUUUCUAAAGAGACAAUUAAGAGGAUAUAUUAAGAUAAAAGGAAAUCAAGAAGAAGAAAACCUAAAAAAUAUGAUAUUCUAAGUUAAUUUUUCUAAGAUCAUUUUGUAAGGUUCUUAGUGCAAUAGUUUCAUAUUGCAUUGCAUUUUUAUUUAAGCACCUAAAAUCCUCCAAGUGUUUGAAUCGGAUUUUUCUUUUAAUAAGUUGGAUGAAGAAUCUUUAUAAAUGAAAACCAUAUUUGAUUAAUGUUAUUCUUGGUUAAAUAGGUUUUCAAAAUAUUAAGGAGUUUAUCUACUUGUAUUUCUCCACAAAUAUUUUGAUAAAGAUGCAAAAGUUCCAAAAACUAUAGAUCUCAUUUAUACUUUUUUUAAUGAUUUCCAUAGAAAAAAUGAGACUGAUUAUUUCAAAUAUAUAACCCAAUAUUUUGACAUGCAUUUCAUCAUUUAAAAGGUUUUUCAAAUUUAAGUUUUCAUAUUGAAAUGAUUCAAGCCAUUAAAGGUCACUUGUGUAUCAUUUCUUAUAUUUUCGUAUGUUUGAUUCAUAUGUGAUCAAAGAGGUCUAUUGGUUGGCCCAAGCAUUUGAUUGGUUCAAAACAAUUUCCAUGGUAGAAUUAUGUUUCAAUAGGUUGUGGUGGAACCUCAACCAAUUGAGUACUGAUUGAAUUGAUUGCUCAAUUGGAUGAGCUUAGCUAUUAGUUGCUUAUUGUAGCUAUUAGGAACCCAGGAUUGCUCCAUUCCCAAGCCUUAAAGCAAUAGGGUGCAUGUAAUUCUAUUUUAAGCUUCUCUAGAUCUAAGCACAAUGGAGACAUAGUACUAAAAACCAAAAUAUAUACUAAACAUCUAGAGAUAGAAACUCAAAUCUAUGAUUUGGAUGUUCCUAGGUCAAAACCCAUCUGAUGAAGAUGUUGAAACUAUGGUAGUUUUCGUAGAACUCGUCUACCAAAUGAUCUUCCACCUGAUCUCUCCCUUCAUGUAUCUUGGCAUAAGAGAAUGGUGGACCUCUCUCUCUCUCUCUCUCAUGAGGGUCGCUAGGGUUCCUCUCUUUGGAAUCUAAAAAAUUUGAAUAUAAAGAAUGAAGCACUAACCCCUAAGGGGGUUUAUGUAGGUUUUCCUAUGGGCUUAAGAGACUUGAGCCCAAAUUAGGCUUAGGUCACCUAACCUAACCCACUGGAGUCCUAAUUAAUUAAUUAGUCUUAAUGGACUCUAAUUAAUUAAUUAGCUUAAUCCAUAAUUAAUUAACCCAAUAUAGAAAUACCAUUCAAAAGAUCUAGUGCAACCUUGCAUUUUGAGAGUUGAUUCAUCUCGAGACCCUAGGAACUACGAAUAACUCUUUUAUAAAUGAAUGAGGAAUAAGGAGAAUUGAUCAAAGCUUCACAAGCCUUGGGGAUAUAGAGACUUUGAAGUAAGGCUUCACCCCUAUCUCUAAAGGGUUUUACUUUAAGUAUCUAUGACUCUACCAAAACGCCCUUAUGCACACUAUGAAACCAAGGUUUGGUUAAUCUUGGUUUUGAUGAUGACAAAACAAGGUUUGGAUCUAAUAUUUUAUCUUAAGUGUGCUUAGGCAAGAAGAUUUCCAAAAAUGACAAUCACGAAGACAAAACCAAGCCAAAUGGAAAUCAAGAAGAAGAAAAGACUUCAAAGAAAAGUGUUUUCAAAACCUAAGUUUCAUAAGAUCUCUUUAUAAGAUUGUUGGUGCACUAGGUUUUUCAAGCAUUUUAUUUUAUUUGUUUUGCUCCAAAAAUCAUCCAAGAGUUAUUUUGUUUAAAAUCGUUUAUAAUUGGGUGAUUUCUUAUUUUAAACUAAAACCUCGUGUUAAAUAAUUUCUAAAAUUUGUUUAAAAGGUUUUGAGUUGAAAAAAAGGUUGUUCAACCAAAAAGAGGUCCAAUUGGUCAAAGGUGAACUAAACUAAAUCAACUAAUUGGGUCAAUUGGUUACCCUUUUUCGUCAAGGACUGAUUAAAGGGUGAAAUUUUUUUCUCUCUAUUCUAGAAGGGUUACUCUCUCAGUCGAGGCAACCCUUAUCCUAGCCAAGGGUACCUUUUUCCCGGUUAAGUGCACCAUUCAAUCUUAGUUUAUCUUGUAUGAAUUGAACAUAAAUUAUGUACUAAGACUUUGUGAGAAUAUUUCCCAUCUUUAUUUAUAAAUCUUUGAGAAGAAAAAUCUAAGUGUGAGGUAUCACAUAGGGAUUCUCAAGUGUGGGUAUUACCUGAGGGAUUUGCCCAAUAAUGAGGUAUCUCUUAAGGAUUGUAAAGGAUGCUUGAAGUCAAAAGUCUAAGAGGGUUGAUUGGAGCCAUAAUCCUAUUGUAUUGCUUGAAGGCUUAAUUUGGAAGCCCUGGAUUAGUGGAACCUCAAACUUGAGAUUGAAGCUAGAGAAGAGAGGAUAUAGGUCGAGUUGCACGAACUACUAUAAAAAUAUUGUGUUUGCAUUCUCUAUUCCCUAAUCUCUUUAAUUUACAUACAAUUAUUUUUUUUCAUUAUAUUUAUUAUAUAUUUGCAUAUAAUUAUCUCUUACAUUCACUUAAUUUAAGUUUACAAAAGGAGACCAUCAUCCCUAUUCACUUCACACCUCCCCCCUCCUCCCCUUCUAGGGUGAUUACUUUAGGUUGAAUUAGCUAAUUUUCUAACACACACUUAUGAAUUAUAUACCUAAAAUACCCUCAAAGCGUGUGACACCAUGAACUAGGGAGCUUAAGUGAGGACCACUAGGACUCAUAGGAAAAUAUUGACUCCCUCAUAAUUUAAUUAUAAAGUUGACUUAACAUUUCACUAAAGAGAGUUAACUACACUCUGCUAUCCUAUGAACUUACAACAAGUCUAAGCUCGAGUUCGUGACUUAUUAUUCAUUGCAUGCAAAAUCACCUAUGAACUAGUGCCUGUAACCUAACAGGGUAGUGUUAUAAACCCAUCAAGAUUACCUCUCCAAUCCUAAACUUACAAAUCCUCUUAUUAUGUAAUCAACUAACAUAUUCUAGCUCAAAGAAGCAUAUAUCAGAUUCCGUUAAAGGAACUACUGUGCUCAUAGAUUUCAUGACCGCAUGUCCUUUAGAUCACCCAAGAAGGCACAUUGUCUUAAUGCCAUGAGGUAUCAUGAUACCUCUAUUGAGGAUACCUAUUGUUACCAAUCUUCAUCAAUAGUAACCUAAUCUAUAGGGAAUAUAUGACCACUUUAAGGUCUCACCCAUAGGUCAAAGCCACCAAUUGAUUUCAACACAAGCUCAAUAUCCUCUCAAAUUUGAAAGUCCAUCAACAUAGUAGCUUGAUGAAUCAUGACAACCUGACAGUCUUAUGUCAUAAUUCACCAUAGGUCAUGUCCAAUGUGUAACCAUACACACUAGUACACUCGUCAUGGAAAAGCCAUCUCGACGACAAGACAAACCAUCUCUCAAAUUAAGAGGUAGUAACACUUCAAUCUUUAUUGGAUUGUCCAAAUCCAUAAAUUGAUUGUGAACAACUUAUCAUCCUAUAAGGAACCCAUGAUUUGUAUUUUCUAUGCAACUCUUAAUGCAUCCAAAUCAUGUAUAAUGCAAGUGAAAUGGGUCUAAACGCUUAAAUCAAUUUCAAUGCAUAAAAAGGACACCCAAGUCUCUUACUUUUGGGCCUUAAUCCCUAUAGUACCUUCUAAUGCCCAACAACUAAUAGCGAGUUUAGUUAGUUGAUCAACUAGUUGACCCCAAACUAUGUCUAACGGCUAGUUUAGCUUUCAACUCCUAUAUGAAGGCCUCAUGUUAUUUGUUAUGCAUGACAAUGAGUUCAAAAUAAUACUUGACCAUUAUUGGAGCCUAAAACCUUGCCUGUUAACUUGCAUUCCAUCCUAUUACACCUCAAUCCUAGUUCUAUUUGUAUCAAAUUAAGCCUAAUUUGUAUAAUAGGAUUGUUCCCUUCAUUUAUAAACAUUGUGAGGUAUUGGAAAGUAUGGGAUCACUUGGGGAAACUCAAAAGUGGUGUAUUUCUUAAAAAGUCUCAUGGAACCAUUAUUCGAGUAUGAAGCUUGAAGGCUUAAAAGCCUUGAUUGGUAGAACCCUCACUCAAAUGAGAGCUUAAGGAGUUAGAGUGAGUGUAGUUUGGGCUGUAUUAAAUCACUAUAUAAACAAAUAUUUAUAAUUUCUCUUCCAUGCUCUCCUUACUUUAUAUGUAAUUGUUUUUCUAUUAUAUUUAUUAUAUUAUUGCUUACAAUUAUCACUUGAAUUCUUAAUUGUUUAAAUUACAAAAAAAUGUCAUCACCUUAUUCACAUCCUAUCUCCAUUAAGGUAAUUACGUUAUUUUGAUUAGCACUUAAAAUACUAACAAUGAUAUUAGGAGUUGACGAAAGCAUAUAUAUGUUCAUUCCCUUUUGAGACUUUUGGAAUCAAUGUUGGCCAAUUAAUGAGUUUUGGACAGUCAUGUGCUAAGCCUGGAUUAAAAUCAGAAGAUGAAAUCUCAACACAAAGACGUCAAGGGAAAAGAUAGUUUUGUUGGAAAA